UGGGGAAUUUUGGACAAUGGGCGAAAGCCUGAUCCAGCAAUGCCGCGUGUGUGAAGAAGGCCUUCGGGUUGUAAAGCACUUUUGUCCGGAAAGAAAUCCUUGGCUCUAAUACAGUCGGGGGAUGACGGUACCGGAAGAAUAAGCACCGGCUAACUACGUGCCAGCAGCCGCGGUAAUACGUAGGGUGCAAGCGUUAAUCGGAAUUACUGGGCGUAAAGCGUGCGCAGGCGGUUUGCUAAGACCGAUGUGAAAUCCCCGGGCUCAACCUGGGAACUGCAUUGGUGACUGGCAGGCUAGAGUAUGGCAGAGGGGGGUAGAAUUCCACGUGCAGCAGUGAAAUGCGUAGAGAUGCGGAGGAAUACCGAUGGCGAAGGCAGCCCCCUGGGCCAAUACUGACGCUCAUGCACGAAAGCGUGGGGAGCAAACAGGAUUAGAUACCCUGGUAGUCCACGCCCUAAACGAUGUCAACUAGUUGUUGGGGAUUCAUUUCCUUAGUAACGUAGCUAACGCGUGAAGUUGACCGCCUGGGGAGUACGGUCGCAAGAUUAAAACUUAAAUGAAUUGACGGGGUCAUAGCUGUUUCCU
rnacentral:rRNA from 1 species